UAGGGAAUCUUCCGCAAUGGGCGAAAGCCUGACGGAGCAACGCCGCGUGAGUGAUGAAGGUCUUCGGAUCGUAAAACUCUGUUAUUAGGGAAGAACAUAUGUGUAAGUAACUGUGCACAUCUUGACGGUACCUAAUCAGAAAGCCACGGCUAACUACGUGCCAGCAGCCGCGGUAAUACGUAGGUGGCAAGCGUUAUCCGGAAUUAUUGGACGUAAAGCGCGCGUAGGCGGUUUUUUAAGUCUGAUGUGAAAGCCCACGGCUCAACCGUGGAGGGUCAUUGGAAACUGGAAAACUUGAGUGCAGAAGAGGAAAGUGGAAUUCCAUGUGUAGCGGUGAAAUGCGCAGAGAUAUGGAGGAACACCAGUGGCGAAGGCGACUUUCUGGUCUGUAACUGACGCUGAUGUGCGAAAGCGUGGGGAUCAAACAGGAUUAGAUACCCUGGUAGUCCACGCCGUAAACGAUGAGUGCUAAGUGUUAGGGGGUUUCCGCCCCUUAGUGCUGCAGCUAACGCAUUAAGCACUCCGCCUGGGGAGUACGACCGCAAGGUUG
rnacentral:rRNA from 1 species